GCUUGUCUCGAAGAUUAAGCCAUGCAAGCCCAGAAUAAGCAUAUUCACGGCGAAUCUGCGAACGGCUCAUUAAAUCAGUCAUAGUUUAUUUGAUAGUCCCUACCACAUGGAUAACCGUGGUAAUUCCCCGGCUAAUACAUGCACUAAAGGGUGGUUUACGCCACUUGUAUUUAUUAGGUAAACCAGCACACGGCGUGGGCAACCUUUAGAAACGGCCGCCACUUCCAAGGAAGGCAGCAGGCGCGCAAAUUACCCAAUUCCGUUUCGGAGAGGUAGUGAAGACAAAUAACAAUGUGUGGCUCAACGAGUCGCACAAUUGGAAUGCAAGAACAUUAAAUUCUUUCUAGUACAAUUGAAGGGUAAGUCUGGUGCCAGCAGCCGCGGUAAUACCAGCUUCAAUAGCGUAUGUUAAAUUUGCUGCAGUUAAAAAGCUCGUAGUUGGAUUUCAGCGUGAGGACGGGCGGUCCUGGAAACAGAGUACUGCACACAAACCGGCUUCACGCUUCCUUCUGGCAGCGCUAUGUUCACUCUUCAGUGAGUGGGUGUAGUGACUCCGGAUCGGUUACUUUGAACAAAUUAGAGUGUUUAAAGCAGGCGUUUGCCUUGAAUACGUUAGCAUGGAAUAACAAAAUGGGCUUUGACUGUCAUUUUGUUGGUUCAGAUGGUCAAGGAAUGAUUAAUAGGGAUAGUUGGGGGCAUCAAAAUUUUGGAGCUAGAGGUGAAAUUCUUAGAUUUCCGAAAGAUUAACUUCUGCGAAAGCGUUUGCCAAGUAUAUUCUCAUUAAUCAAGAACGAAAGUUAGGGGAUCGAAGACGAUCAGAUACCGUCGUAGUCUUAACCAUAAACGAUGCCGACUAGGGAUCCGGGGAAAUUCGAUUUGAUGACUCCCUGGGCACCUUCCGAGAAAUCAAAGUCUUUGGGUUUUGGGGGGAGUAUGGUCGCAAGGCUGAAACUUAAAGGAAUUGACGGAAGGGCACACCAGGAGUGGAGCCUGCGGCUUAAUUUGACCCAACACGGGAAAAC
rnacentral:rRNA from 1 species